rnacentral:pre_miRNA from 1 species
CAUAUACUCCCUCCGUUCCGAAUUACUUGUCGCGGGUAUGGAUGUAUCUAGAUGUAUUUUAGUUCUAGAUCCAUUUCUGCGACGAGUAAUUUGGAACGGAGGGAGUACUUA